UAUGUAGGGGGCUAGCGUUGUCCGGAAUCAUUGGGCGUAAAGCGCGUGUAGGCGGUCCGGUAAGUCCGCUGUGAAAGUCGGGGGCUCAACCCUCGAAUGCCGGUGGAAACUGUCGGGCUAGAGUAUGGAAGAGGCGAGUGGAAUUCCUGGUGUAGCGGUGAAAUGCGCAGAUAUCAGGAGGAACACCAAUUGCGAAGGCAGCUCGCUGGGACGUUACUGACGCUGAGACGCGAAAGCGUGGGGAGCAAACAGG
rnacentral:rRNA from 1 species